rnacentral:rRNA from 1 species
UACGUAGGGCGCAAGCGUUAUCCGGAAUUAUUGGGCGUAAAGCGCACGUAGGCGGCUUUCUAAGUCGGGGGUGAAAUCCUGGAGCUCAACUCCAGAACUGCCUUCGAUACUGGAGAGCUCGAGUCCGGGAGAGGUGAGUGGAACUGCGAGUGUAGAGGUGAAAUUCGUAGAUAUUCGGAAGAACACCAGUGGCGAAGGCGACUCACUGGACAUGUAUUGACGCUGAGGUGCGAAAGCGUGGGGAGCAAACAGG